GGUAGGAUGGCCGAGGGCUAGGCGGAGAGCUGUAGACUCUCUCACAGAGGUUUGAGUCCUUUUCUUAUCA
rnacentral:tRNA from 1 species